GGGGUUUUCUAGAUAUACAAUCAUGUCAUCUGCAAACAGGGACAAUUUGACUUCCUCUUUUCCUAAUUGAAUGCCCUUUAUUUCCUUCUCCUGCCUGAUUGCAGAAGUAGGAAGGAUUUUAAAAUUAUGCUGGAUCUAAUUCAAAAUUUAGUGUCAUAUUCUUUUUUUUUUUUUUUUUUUGAGACAGAAUCUCGCUCUGUUGCCCAGGCUGGAGUGCAGUGGCAUGAUCUCAGUUCACUGCAACCUCUGCCUUCCAGGUUCAAGUGAUUCUUGUGCCUCACCCUCCCAAGUAGCUAGGAUUAUAGGCAUGUGCCACCAAGCCCGGCUAAUUUUUGUUGUUGUUGUUGUUUUUGUUUUUUUUUGUAUUUUUAGUAGAGAUGGGGUUUCACCACGUUGGCCAGGCUGGUCUCGAACUCCUAGCCUCAAGUGAUCUGCUCACUUCAUCCUCCCAAAGUGCUGGGAUUACAGGCAUGAGCCUCUGCGCCUGGCCCUAAGUAUUAGCUGGUGUCCAGAAUUAAAGGACAGUCAUUCCUUUCUUCAUGGGUGUUUUGAUUUUAGAAUUGUUAACCUUUCCCAGUGGUAGAAUUACAGGGUUGGCAUUUCAGAAGCUCUAAAUCAGAUACACUACACUCAAGUUAUUACCUGUACUAACUAAAAGUUGAGUGUUAAGGGAACAACCGGGUGUCUACGUGGAAAGUCAUUUCCAUCUGUGUCAGAAUCUUGGCCUAUUAAGUGAACAUGAAACCUAGUUCAUAUCUGUUGUUUGUAGGGCUUCGGUACUAGCUAAAUUGUUUUUCCUAAUUUGGGGAAAAGAAUUUAGGAGCAGAGGAAGGAGACUGAAUGAAUGGUAUAUGAAGUUGUUUGUUGUUUUUUCAUCUUUUUGGCUAGCUCAGAGUGUAACUUAUUUACCCAAAGUCACACAACUAUUCCUUCACUUAUUCAGUCAACAGAUGUGUUUCCUAUAUGUCAGGAACUUUCUGUGUUCUGGAGAUAAUGGUGAUCUUUCCUCCUAUAUUGUUGCUAAGGCACAGACAAGCACAGGCAGGUAAUAGACAUAAAAAAACGUGAUUUUAUGUGUGGUAAGUGGUAUUCAAGAAAAUAAGAGGAAUGGUAUAGAAUGUGGUGGAAGUAGGGGAUACAAGGACACUGGCUAAUUUAGAAUGGGAAAAUCCCUCUGAGAUGAGGAUAUUAGAGCCGUGACCUGAAUGACCUCCAUUUGAAGAUCAGCGAAAAAUCUAUACGAGAGAAAGCAGUAAGUACAAAGUCCCCAGUUUGGGAAAUGCUUGGCACACCUGAGGAGCAGAAAGAAGGGCUGGUGUGGCUGGAGCCUAAUGAAAUUUAAAUUGAGAGGAGGAUGUGUCUAGGCCAGUUUAUGUCAUGCUUGAUAGACCAGGGUAAGAAAUUUGAGUUGUAUUUGAGUUGCAAUGGACAGCAUUGGAAGGCUUUAAACAAGGAAGAGACUUUUUUUUAAAGACCGCUGGCUACGAUAUAGAGAAAAGACUAUAAUGAUGCAGAGACAAGUUAAGUUUUAUCUAAGUAGUUAUACUGAUUUGUUCUGAGGGAAAUAAAGUAAUGCAUAUUGUCCUUUUAGGUUCAAUCUGAGCGAAUUAGAGAAGGAAUGGAAAAAGUUACCAAAUAGCCACUAACAAUGGCCUAAGAUUGUGAAUGUGGUGGUCUUGUUUUCCUCCUUACUUGUGGCAUUAACAAAGUGUAUGAGCUUCCUAUUUGAAAUCUGUGGAAUAUGUAUAUUGAAAUCUUUAGAUUUUUUUGGUUUAAAUGCUUUUCAGAAUUGACAAACUGUUUUUCAGUUAAUUUCACAUCUAAAUUAAAUGAAAACAAUCUCAAAUAAGUACAAUUGCUACUGAAAUUGUCAAAGGAAUUUUGCUGAGGCAAAGCAGUGAAAACAUUUCCCUUCUAUAAAGAAGUUAUGAUGCUUGAACUUAAUGGCUAUGAAGGUUAAAAAUUUUAAAUACAGAUUAAUCUCUGUGCUAGUGUUUAGAGAGAGAUGACAUAUAAGAAUUUUUUGGCUCUUCAUGUUAUUUUAAAUGCUCAUGAGUAAUACCAGAAACAGGCUUUAUUUGGAAAUAGAUAUACUAUUUAAGACAAAAUUUGAAGAGAUUUAUUUUAAAGUGUUCCAUUUCUCUUUGAGAAAUAUUUUUUUUCUUUGCCUAGAUACCUGGCACAGUGAUGAACUUAAUAGAAGAUUCUGUCCUCACUAUGCAUAUGGUCUGUGUUGUGGGUUCUUCCACAUAAGCAAACAGGUGAAGAUUAAGCCAGGCCACCCAUGUGGGGGAUCUAGCCCACUGCCAAGGGUGACUUUUUAGGGUGCUUGGGCCUCAUCCAUCCUUUUAUAAUCAAGAUUAUUAAAACAAUGGGAGAUGCUGUAUGCUGAUCUCCAGAAGAACAAAGAAUUAGUUGGGUGUUAAACCAAGAACACUAAAAAUGCAGCAGUAGCCAAAAUUGCUGUGACCAGGUAUAGGACAGUAAAAGGAAGGCUGUAAAAAGAACCUCUGAGGACCCAGGUGACUCUAGCUGUUAAUGUCUGUCUGUCCUUGGAUAUUGGGAACUGAAGCAGAUGUCUAAGCUGUAGAGCUAGAGUUGACAUGAGAUAGCUCUGUCUCUUCUUGGGUCUGUGGAAGUUGCAGUCUUUAUCGAGUGGCAGUGAUUAGACCACUCUAAGACCCAAGGCUUAUGAGGCUGGGGAGCUUCCAGGGUGAGGAAGAAGCAAAGUACUAGCUACUACCUCCUAGAAAAGAUGCGAGAAUUUGGGAGUGGUGGGAGGAACUGAGAGACCCUGUGAUUUCCAGCAACUUAAAGAGACAAGCAAGACCAGGUGUCCACCUGGGAAGCCAUUUUUACAUAUUUUAGAAUCUUGGCUUAUUGAACAAGCUCAGGUCUAUUGCUUACUAAGCUUCUCUUCUUGCUAAGUUUCCAAUUAGUAAUUUAAGUCGUGCUGUGAAGGAUUGUAUGCAGUUUGAAACUCCACAGUCCAGAUUCAUUUGAGUUAACACCUCUGUAUCCCAUAUAUGUAUUCUCUUAAUACAUCACCUAAUAUUUCCAAAGCCCCCCCCCCCAGUCACUGUCAUCUGGUCAUCCUCUAUCUUCUCACAAUACUUUUUCCUCAUAGCACUAAAUAGUACCUGUCCUCAUAUUAAGUGUCUGUUUAUUAUCUGCCUCCUUCCCUGGAAUGUAAGCUUCAUGAGGGCAGGAGUGCAGUUUUGUUUAUUACUGUAACCUCAGAGUAGAGAAGCCUGGCCACAUAGUAGAUGCUAGUAUUCGUUUCCUAGGGCUGCUGUAACAGAUACCAUACAUGAGUUACUUAAAACAACAGAAAUUUAUUCUUUCACAGUUUAGGUGGCCAGAAGUCCCAAACCAAGAUAUAACAAAUUAUAUCUGCAAAGCCUUUAUUUCCACAGAACCACAUUCUGAGGUUCUGGGUGGACAUUAAUUUGGCAGGGAGUAGUGGGGGGACACUAACCUACUACAGUGCUCAGUAAAUAUUUAUUGGGUGAAUGAAAAUUCAGAGUGUAUUCUAAGCUGUAAACCCCUUGGAUGUUUUCAUCACAGUCUUCUCUUAAUAACUGCUACAGAACAUAAGGAUUAGUUUGUGGUCCCAGAUUUUUUAGGCUCCAAUUCUGCUUCUACCACUUUCUACUUGUGAGCUCUUAGGCAAGCUAUUUAACUUUGUAAGCCUCAGUUUCUUCUGUAAAAUGGUGACAAUAAGAAAUAACAGUAAGUGCCCAAUAAGUUUUAACUAUUAUUAUGUGUCUAUAGCUAUUUUAAAGCACUUUCUAUAUGUAAUCCUCAUAACAACCGUAUUAGGUGAGCCUAUUACACUUCUCAUUUUAUGACAAAGGAAACUAGAUUUGUUUCAAGAAUGAAAAACCUAGAAAAUUAUAUGUCACUUUAUGAAGUGCCUGGCACAUAGUACAUAGAAUAGCUUAGCUACAAUAAUAUAGAUAUGUGACUUUACCUCAUAACUUUAAGACAUCUCAAAUUGAUUCACAAAUCAGAAAAAAAAUCUGAGGCAUCAGAUGUGAGGUGAGGUGAGGUGAGGCAUCUCAGUUUUUGCACAUAUGGUUACUGUUAUUGAGGGAGCUCCAUGUCAUUGAGGGAGCUCCACGUCAUUGAGGGAGGACUGGGUGGGAUGCUGGCCAAAGGUAGGGGCAUAUUUAGGCAGUGAAAUUGCAGUUAUGGGACCCCUCUAUAGCACUAGAUGUGUGAGAGGACUAAAAAUAAAAUUCCUUUGAAAUUUCUUACAGGGUCAUAUAUUACCUCCUUCCCAAUGACUACUGUGGUAUAUUAGAGUAGGGGAUUGAUGUCCCAGAAAUAUUAUGUACAUCAAACAGAAGAUCUACACAAAUUGUUUUAUCAGAUACUGAAUAUAUCAAUGGGCUAGAGUGUAUUAUAGUACAUAUGGGUAUGUUGUUUUCCCCCUUUUGACUAAAUAAACUCUCCCCUCUCUGCAACAGGUAAAUUUCCAGUUUACCUUUUUCUUGCUGUUUUUAAUUUUUUUUAUUUUGAAGGCUUUGUAUCUUUAUAUCUCAGCUGAAAAUAUUACAUUCUAACUCCCCAAAGCUAUUCUCACAUUAUUUGCAAGUAUUUUUUCAUAGUUUACAUGUUUGUGUAUUUGUUUAAUACAUUCCACAAGACUGAAAGUCUUGGUGAGGGCAGGAACUCUGUCUAGGUUGUUCAUCUGGCAGCCAGCAAACCCAAAAUAAGUAUUAGUUGAAUGAAUAGCUAAAUAGAUGAGCCAUGGGGUAGCAUAUCUGUUUUAGCUACUGCUUGCCUGUUAUCAUCCUGGGAUGCUGCUUGCUUCUCCGUGAUCUCUUCUUGUUCUUAAAUUGUCUUCAGUUGUAGUACUAAGUACUAAUUUGAUCUGUAAUGUGAUAUGUGGCUGAAGUUUGCUCUGUAAAAUCACCGUUUCCUGAGGUAUAUUCAAUAUCUUUAAUUUUUCCAUAAAUCUCUUCAAGGUUUGUGUGUGUUUUCUUUUAAAUUAUCUAACUAGUUGGAUGUAUGCUUGAAGUGCUAGACAAUAAAAGUUUCAAUAGGCUAGAAA
rnacentral:lncRNA from 1 species